rnacentral:rRNA from 1 species
UACGUAGGGGACAAGCGUUGUCCGGAUUUAUUGGGCGUAAAGAGCGUGUAGGCGGCCAGGCAGGUCCGCUGUGAAAACUCGAGGCUCAACCUCGAGACGCCGAUGGAAACCAUCUGACUAGAGUCCGGAAGAGGAGAGUGGAAUUCCUGGUGUAGCGGUGAAAUGCGCAGAUAUCAGGAAGAACACCCGUGGCUAAGGCGGCUCUCUAGUACGGUACUGACGCUGAGACGCGAAAGCGUGGGGAGCGAACAGG